UUAUUUUAAAUAACAACACAUAAUACCAUAUAAAACUUUAUAGUACUGCAAAGAAAAUAAAAAUAAAUUAAAGUAGGCUCAAACCCGUACCUUGUGCAUUAUGGAUCUACAAGAUUUAAAAUAAUUUUAACUACCCGAAUUCUUAUGAGCUGUACAUUUAUUGUUUAGAACCCAAAAAUUAAUGUUUCAUUAUUAUUUUUAAAUAAAUUUAUAGAGGCUACAUACCUAACGUAUAAGAAUAUACCUGGUCUCUCUCUAACAUUAUUUAUUAAACCUUAUAAUAUAUAAGUUUAAACUAUAGAAGAUAAUUUCUAUAAUAAACCCAUUUAAAUUAAAAAAUUAUUAAUAAUAGACUUAAUAUCAGUCACUUCAAUAUAACUUCACCGUUACAUAUAAAUUAUAAAUAAAUAAAUAAGGUAAAUAUAGAGAGAUUUUAAUUCAAACUAUUUAAAUUAAAAAAUUAUGUAAAUAUUAGUAUUAAUUAAUUAUUUAUAAAGGAACUCGGCAACAUUUAUUUCGACUGUUUAACAAAAACAUUUCUUUUAGAAAAAUAAUUAAAAGUAGUCCCUGCCCAAUGAAUUUUAAUGGCCGCGGUACCCUAACCGUGCAAAGGUAGCAUAAUAAAUUGCCUAUUAAUUGUAGGCUAGAAUGAAUGGGUUAACGAAAUAAAAUCUGUCUCCAUAAAUAAAAUAAAAAUUAUCCUUUAAGUGAAGAGACUUAAAUAAUAUAGUGGGACAAGAAGACCCUACAGAGCUUUAUUAUAAAAUUAAAUAAAUUAUUUUUAUAAUUUGGUUGGGGCGACCAAGGAUCCAUAAAACAUCCUUUAUUAAUGAGAAUAAAACUUCAAAAUAAGAUCCUAAUAAGAUAAAAUGUAUAGUUACCUUAGGGAUAACAGGCUAAUUUAUUUAAAGAGCCCUUAUCUACAAAUAAGUUUGGCACCUCGAUGUUGGCUUAGGAAAACAUUUUAACGCAAAAGUUAAAUAUGUUAGUUUGUUCAACUAUUAAAUUCCUACAUGAGCUGAGUUCAGACCGACGAGAGUCAGGUUAGAUUCUAUCUACUAUCAAUAAAAUUAUUUAUAGUACGAAAGGACCUAAAUAAACUUAAUCUAAGAAUUACAAUAUAAAAUU
rnacentral:rRNA from 1 species